UACAGAGGGUGCAAGCGUUGUUCGGAAUUAUUGGGCGUAAAGCGCGUGUAGGCGGCUUAGCAAGUCGGGCGUGAAAGCCCUCGGCUCAACCGAGGAAGUGCACCCGAAACUGCUGAGCUUGAGUGCCGGAGAGGAUGGCGGAAUACCCCAAGUAGAGGUGAAAUUCGUAGAUAUGGGGUGGAACACCGGUGGCGAAGGCGACUCUUUGGCCUGUAACUGACACUGAGGCGCGAAAGCGUGGGGAGCAAACAGG
rnacentral:rRNA from 1 species